rnacentral:rRNA from 1 species
AAUAGAUACCCCGGUAGUCCACGCCGUAAACGGUGGGUACUAGGUGUGGGUUUCCUUCCUUGGGAUCCGUGCCGUAGCUAACGCAUUAAGUACCCCGCCUGGGGAGUACGGCCGCAAGGCUAAAACUCAAAGGAAUUGACGGGGCCCGCACAAGCGGCGGAGCAUGUGGAUUAAUUCGAUGCAACGCGAAGAACCUUACCUGGGUUUGACAUGCACAGGACGCUGGUAGAGAUAUCAGUUCCCUUGUGGUCUGUGUGCAGGUGGUGCAUGGCUGUCGUCAGCUCGUGUCGUGAGAUGUUGGGUUAAGUCCCGCAACGAGCGCAACCCUUGUCUCAUGUUGCCAGCGGGUUAUGCCGGGGACUCGUGAGAGACGUGCCGGGGUCAACUCGGAGGAAGGUGGGGAUGGACGUCAAGUCAUCAUGCCCCUUAUGUCCAGGGCUUCACACAUGCUACAAUGGCCGGUACAAAGGGCUGCGAUGCCGUGAGGUUAAGCGAAUCCUUUAAAGCCGGUCUCAGUUCGGAUCGGGGUCUGCAACUCCG